GCAAACAUCCAUGCCCAUCUUCCUGUAUUUUAUGUGGGACACCACCACAGCAUGGCUUGAUAAGUGGUGUGUCCGUCUGCACUCGGGAUCCAAUUCCAUGCACCUGUGAACCCCGGGCUGCC